UAGUAGCUAAGCAGUUCUGCAAAUUGGGCA
rnacentral:piRNA from 1 species